rnacentral:tRNA from 1 species
GGGCACUUGGUCCAGUGGUAAGACGCUCGCAUACAGGUAUCCACUCGGCUUUGGCGAGGUGCUUAACCGUAUCUGGAGUCGGUCUGUAGCAGAUCGGGACGUCCAGAGCCUAGUUGCGAGAAACCCACGUUCGAAUCGUGGAGUGCCCA